rnacentral:rRNA from 1 species
UACAGAGGCCUCGAGCGUUAGGCGGAAUCACUGGGCUUAAAGCGUGUGUAGGCGGACUUCUAAGUCCCUUGUGAAAUCCCACGGCUCACCCGUGGAACUGCUUGGUAUACUGGUUGUCUUGAGCCUUCUAGGGGCGAGUGGAACAAAUGGUGGAGCGGUGAAAUGCGUAGAUAUCAGGAGGAACACCGAUGGCGAAGGCAGGUCUCUGGGCCACUACUGACGCUGAGAAGCGAAAGCAUGGGGAGCGAACAGG